rnacentral:lncRNA from 1 species
CCGGAUAACCACACACCGGGGCUGAGUAUCUGAAAUCACAAAUCUACAACGCCAUUUUCCGUUAUGAACCUGAAAAGAUUAUCAUUGUACCCUAAGCCAUGAAUUAACCAGCUGCUGCAUACUUCAGUGAGUUCUAGACUGAACCAUGAUGAACUUGGCCAUGACCAAUGUGUUAUGUGGUCAAAACUCAUGGCAAAGAGAUCAACAUUCAAACUGAUUGUUUAAUUCUAAUUGGUGAGUAAAGACAGUAGGUCCACCAAAAAGAAUGAUCCAUCACUGUUAAUAUGAACAUAAAACAAAAGUAGUAGGCUAUGGGCGUGCAAUAGAUGAUUAAAAUGUAUGUCAAGCACUUUUUUAGAAUGAUUACAAACACAGACUACAUAGUAGUAUAUGCUGUUGCUGACUUGUUUGCAGCUACACUAUCAGCUUUUCUUUUAUGUUCCUCAUCUUUAGCAUUACACACAUACUCCCCCUUUCUUUCCUUCCCCUUUUUUUCCCUGGAUUUUUCUACUUGUCUGUAAAUUUAAUGUGUGAGAGUUAGAUAGUGUACUUUGAAAUCUGAUUGCUUCAUAUAUGGUAUCAUAAAAGUAGCUAAUAUGUCAGAACCUGAUUAUGUAAUUAACGAUCUUAAUUAGAUUGCAGUGGUUUUAUAUCAUGUACUCCAAAUUUGUUCACCAUAUGUCCAUAUCAACACAACUCAUGUCCAGUCUGCAAAAACCGGGUUGUCAAGGGUGCUCAAGACUCCCAAGAGUAUAUUACCUUGUCUAAACUCAAAGUAUAUCCCUGCAAUGUGAAACUGUAUAUAUGCUACUAACGAUAUGGACUACUCCUUUACUGCUAAUACCAUCGCCAAUGUCUUUCUGUAGAAACUUUACACACUAUAUAUAUAUAUAUAUAUAUAUUACAACACAAAGGACUAAGAACUGUUCCAAAACCCGUUUUCACUUAUAGAGAAAAAACAUCAAAUUAAUAUUUGUAGAUUUUCAACUUUAUAGAAUUGAAUAUUUUUGUAUCAUUUGGAAUUCAAACUUUAAUCUUGAUCUUUCACAAAUCCAAUCAUAAAAAGGCUGACCCUUGACAAAUACCAGAGGAAUAAUUAAGACUUAUCUAAUGAAUGUAAUAUGUGCUUAUUUAUUUAUUAAUUAACCCUACCACUAAUCUCUCUCUAUCUCUCUCAAAUGGAAAAGAAAAGUGAGGGAAAUAAAGCAAAGAUGACAAAAAAGGUCAAAACUAACCACCUUUCACUAAUACGUUUUUAGUUUCACACAUUAAAUGAGUCUUGUAUAUAUAUUUCUCAAUAAGGGUAAUUAUCAAUCUGUGAAGAUGGGCAUAAGGAAUUACCAUGAAUAUAACAAGCUGGAGUUAGUCCUUCAAGCACCAUCUUUUGUU